CUCUCUGUAGCUCAGUUAGUUAGAGCGCUAGCACCAGUAUCGCAGCGCCGCAGGUUCAAUUCCUGCCACAGGGC